UAUUAACACUCGUAUCUAUAUGCAAAAGAUAAAGAUCUUUAAUCAAGAAAGGACGUGCAACAACUUUAUUUCUAAAAUAAAUCGUAUACAUAUCUUUAUUGAAUUGAAAUUAUAAUUAUCCUGUGCCAGCAUAGAUACAAAAAUUAGAUUUCUACUAGCUAUAGGUACAAAGUAACAGUCUUUUAAAAUUAAACUAAUUCCUAAUGAUAGUUGCAAAGUGUAGGUCUCGAUAACCACAGCAGCAACUCUUGCUCCAUUAC
rnacentral:lncRNA from 1 species